UACGUAGGGUGCAAGCGUUGUCCGGAAUUAUUGGGCGUAAAGAGCUUGUAGGCGGUUUGUCGCGUCUGCUGUGAAAUUUCGGGGCUCAACCCCGAACUUGCAGUGGGUACGGGGCAGACUAGAGUGUGGUAGGGGAGACUGGAAUUCCUGGUGUAGCGGUGAAAUGCGCAGAUAUCAGGAGGAACACCGGUGGCGAAGGCGGGUCUCUGGGCCGAUACUGACGCUGAGGAGCGAAAGCGUGGGGGAGCGAACAGG
rnacentral:rRNA from 1 species